UCUAAUGUGACAGAAUUUAUGUAAUGAAUUUAAAAUUCAUCUAUAAAGAUUUAUCUUUCUUUAGAA
rnacentral:tRNA from 1 species